rnacentral:lncRNA from 10 species
GGCUGAGGCGGACAGAUCACUUGAGGACAGGAGUUCAAGACCAACCUAGCCAACAUGGUGAAACCCCCUCUCUACUAAAAUACAAAACAAUUAGCCAGGCAUGGUGGUGGGUGCCUGUCAUCCCAGCUACUCAGGAGGCUGAGGCAGGAGAAUCACUCGGACCCAGGAGGCGCAGGUUGCAGUGAGCCAGGAUCAUGCUAUUGCAAUCUAGCCUGGGCAACAAGAGCGAAACUCUGUCUCAAAAAGAAAAACUUAAUCCAACCCCAUAAGAUAGGGUGGAUCAUUUAGGAAGUAACUCAUGGCUUGGCAUAAUCUUUCUGGAGAUCUUUCCUAUCUCUAGAACUUCCUGAAGAUGCUGGUUAGAGGCAACAUCCACGUUAUUAUGGAAGUGGCACCCAACGCUAACCUCAGAUGCAAUAUACAGGGUUGCUUUGCCUCAGCCCCUGGAUUACAACGCCCCCUGGCUCAUACCUGAGUUCACCACAGCCUUUGGACCCCAGAACUGCCCUUGCUGGUUCUGGUCUCUGGCUAAAUCUUCUAUGAUUGCAGCUUUGGCUACUACCUAUAGCCUUAGGGAAAAACCCAGAACUUGUGUUUGAAUUCUACUACCACCAGAUGUUAGCUGAGUCAUCUCCAGCCUCAAUUUCCCAAUCUGUGGGAUUUGUUGCACUGUAUACCUUAAACGGGAGUUAUUGCUAUUAUUGCAGUUAACAUAAGCUUCUACCACUUACCUAACUCAGCGCGUGCAGUUAGAUUUUAGCAUCUAAAAUGCCAAUCUGCAAUCAUCUUUAUUAGUCAUAUUUUGCCUGUUUUUAUCCAUCAUUCCAAUUUGUUGUAAUCAUUCCAGUCCCUGAUAUAAUCCACAUUUUAAUCUCAGAUAUUGAAAAGUAAUGGCAGACAAGACAGAGAGUCAUGGACAGAAUUUGACGUACCACUAGAGAAAUCUGUUCUCAUUUAGGUCCUUUGAUUACAGUUAACAAAAACACAUUCUAAGAAAUCAAAAGAAAGCCAAGGAACCAUGCCUGGGAACAACAUAACCAGAUAGAACCAAAAUCAGGUACAUCAGACAGUCUAGCCUAAGAGGCUGGCUCUGGAAUAAAUAAGCUCU